rfam:Triticum aestivum genome assembly, contig: Triticum_aestivum_CS42_TGACv1_scaffold_489848_6AS
AUUAUACUCCCUCCGUCCGAAAACACUUGUCAUCAAAAUGGACAAAACUAGAUGUAUCUAAAACUAAAAUACAUCUAGAUACAUCCCUUUUAUCCAUUUUGAUGACAAGUAUUUUCGGACGGAGGGAGUAUAUA